AAUUUGAAAUCUGGCCCUUUUGGGGUCCGAGUUGUAAUUUGUAGAGAGUGCUUCGGGGGAGACCGCGGUCUAAGUCCAUUGGAACAUGGCGUCCCAGAGGGUGAGAAUCCCGUAUGUGACCGCGGCUCGAGCCCAUGUGAAGCCUCUUCGACGAGUCGAGUUGUUUGGGAAUGCAGCUCUAAAUGGGUGGUAAAUUUCAUCUAAAGCUAAAUACUGGCUGGAGACCGAUAGCGCACAAGUAGAGUGAUCGAAAGAUGAAAAGCACUUUGGAAAGAGAGUUAAACAGUACGUGAAAUUGUUGAAAGGGAAGCGCUUGCAACCAGACCUGCCCGUAGGCGAUCAACCGCUGUUCUCAGCGGUGCACUCGUUCUGCGAUCAGGCCAGCAUCGGUUCUGGCGGUCGGAUAAAGGCCUUGGGAAUGUAGCUUCCCUUCGGGGGAGUCUUAUAGCCCUCGGUGCAAUGCGGCCAGCCGGGACCGAGGACCGCGCUUCGGCUAGGAUGCUGGCGUAAUGGUUGUAAGCGACCC
rnacentral:rRNA from 1 species